GACGAACGCUGGCGGCGUGCUUAACACAUGCAAGUCGAACGGAAAGGCCCUGCUGUUGUGGGUUGCGCGUGUGGCGAACGGGUGAGUAACACGUGAGUAACCUGCCCUUGACGUUGGGAUAACUUCAGGAAACUGGGGCUAAUACCGGAUAGGAGCUCCUGCUGCAUGGUGGGGGUUGGUAAGAUUCGGCGGUUGGGGAUGGACUCGCGGCUUAUCAGCUUGUUGGUGUGGUAGUGGCUUACCAAGGCUUUGACGGGUAGCCGGCCUGAGAGGGUGACCGGCCACAUUGGGACUGAGAUACGGCCCAGACUCCUACGGGAGGCAGCAGUGGGGAAUAUUGCACAAUGGGCGGAAGCCUGAUGCAGCAACGCCGCGUGCGGGAUGACGGCCUUCGGGUUGUAAACCGCUUUCGCAUGUGACGAAGCGUGAGUGACGGUAAUGGGUAAAGAAGCACCGGCUAACUACGUG
rnacentral:rRNA from 1 species